rnacentral:rRNA from 1 species
GGAGAGUUUGAUCCUGGCUCAGGACGAACGCUGGCGGCGUGCCUAAGACAUGCAAGUCGUGCGCUCCCGAAACCCAAGGCUCUGUCCGAAGGUUUCGGGGGAGCGGCGGACGGGUGAGUAACGCGUGGGUAACCUGCCCGGGAGACCGGGAUAACACCCCGAAAGGGGUGCUAAUACCGGAUACGAUCCCCCCACCGCAUGGCGGGGGGAUGAAAGGCCAAAAGCCACUCCCGGAUGGGCCCGCGUCCCAUUAGCCAGUUGGCGGGGUAACGGCCCACCAAAGCUACGAUGGGUAGCCGGCCUGAGAGGGUGGUCGGCCACACUGGGACUGAGAUACGGCCCAGACUCCUACGGGAGGCAGCAGUCGGGAAUCUUGCGCAAUGGGCGAAAGCCUGACGCAGCGACGCCGCGUGGGGGAUGAAGGCCUUCGGGUUGUAAACCCCUGUCUUCGGGGACGAAUUCUGACGGUACCCGAGGAGGAAGCCCCGGCUAACUACGUGC